rnacentral:rRNA from 1 species
AUUGAACGCUGGCGGCAGGCUUAACACAUGCAAGUCGAGCGGGGUGAUGGUGCUUGCACUAUCACUUAGCGGCGGACGGGUGAGUAAUGCUUAGGAAUCUGCCUAUUAGUGGGGGACAACAUCUCGACAGGGAUGCUAAUACCGCCUACGUCCUACGGGAGAAAGCAGGGGAUCACUUGUGACCUUGCGCUAAUAGAUGAGCCUAAGUCGGAUUAGCUAGUUGGUGGGGUAAAGGCCUACCAAGGCGACGAUCUGUAGCGGUUCUGAGAGGAUGAUCCGCCACACUGGGACUGAGACGCGGCCCAGACUCAUACGGGAGGCAGCAGUGGGGAAUAUUGGACAAUGGGGGGAACCCUGAUCCAGCCAUGCCGCGUGUGUGAAGAAGGCCUUAUGGUUGUAAAGAACUUUAAGCGAGGAGGAGGCUCUUUUGGUUAAUACCCAAGAUGAGUGGACGUUACUCGCAGAAUAAGCACCGGCUAACUCUGUGCCAGCCGCCGCCGUAA